CCCGAUGGAGGGGGAUAACUACUGGAAACGGUAGCUAAUACCGCAUAACGUCGCAAGACCAAAGUGGGGGACCUUCGGGCCUCACACCAUCGGAUGUGCCCAGAUGGGAUUAGCUAGUAGGUGGGGUAAUGGCUCACCUAGGCGACGAUCCCUAGCUGGUCUGAGAGGAUGACCAGCCACACUGGAACUGAGACACGGUCCAGACUCCUACGGGAGGCAGCAGUGGGGAAUAUUGCACAAUGGGCGCAAGCCUGAUGCAGCCAUGCCGCGUGUAUGAAGAAGGCCUUCGGGUUGUAAAGUACUUUCAGCGGGGAGGAAGGCGGUGAAGUUAAUAGCUUCAUCGAUUGACGUUACCCGCAGAAGAAGCACCGGCUAACUCCGUGCCAGCAGCCGCGGUAAU
rnacentral:rRNA from 1 species